rnacentral:rRNA from 1 species
UUUCCGGUUGAUCCUGCCGGACCUGACUGCUAUCGGAUUGAUACUAAGCCAUGCGAGUCUUUGUAGUAAUACAAGGCAGACGGCUCAGUAACACGUAGUCAACCUACCCUAUGGACAAGAAUAAUCUCGGGAAACUGGGCAUAAUUCUUGAUAGAUCAUAAUGCCUGGAAUGGUUUAUGGUUAAAAUGAUUCGUCGCCAUAGGAUGGGACUGCGGCCUAUCAGCUUGUUGGUGAGGUAAUGGCCCACCAAGGCGAUUACAGGUACGGGCUCUGAGAGGAGAAGCCCGGAGAUGGGUACUGAGACACGGACCCAGGCCCUAUGGGGCGCAGCAGGCGAGAAAACUUUGCAAUGUGCGAAAGCACGACAAGGUUAAUCCGAGUGAUUUCUGCUAAAGAAAUCCUUUGCCAGUCAUAAAACCACUGGUGAAUAAGGGGUGGGCAAGUUUUGGUGUCAGCCGCCGCGGUAAAACCAGCACCUCAAGUGGUCAGGAUGAUUAUUGGGCCUAAAGCAUCCGUAGCCGGCUUUGUUAGUUUUCGGUUAAAUCCAUGUGCUCAACGCAUGGGCUGCCGAAAAUACUGCAUAGCUAGGGAGUGGGAGAGGUAGACGGUACUCAGUAGGAAGGGGUAAAAUCCUUUGAUCUAUUGAUGACCACCUGUGGCGAAGGCGGUCUACCAGAACACGUUCGACGGUGAGGGAUGAAAGCUGGGGGAGCAAACCGGAUUAGAUACCCGGGUAGUCCCAGCUGUAAACGAUGCAGACUCGAUGAUGCAUUGGCAUAAUAGCCAGUGCAGUGUCGCAGGGAAGCCGUUAAGUCUGCCGCCUGGGAAGUACGUACGCAAGUAUGAAACUUAAAGGAAUUGGCGGGGGAGCACCACAAGGGGUGAAGCCUGCGGUUCAAUUGGAGUCAACGCCGGG